rnacentral:lncRNA from 1 species
CAGGAGCUGAAGCUGGUGCUCAGGAACCGCGGCAGCAGCCUGGGCUUCUGCAGCUCCGGGUUCCUGGCUGAGGUGGCUGCCAGUCCCUGGCUACCCAGGCGGAGAACGAUCAAAUUCAAGAAUGCUGAGAGAGUUUUUCCAGGGCUACCAGCUGAAGAGCUCCUGUGGGACUCCAGCCCCACCACCAUGGGCAGCCCCGAGGGCCGCUUCCACUUUGCCAUCGACCGUGGGGGUACCUUCACAGACGUCUUUGCCCAGUGCCCAGGGGGGCACGUGCGGGUCUUAAAACUGCUCUCAGAGGACCCUGCCAACUAUGCGGACGCGCCAACCGAAGGCAUCCGCCGCAUCCUGGAGCAGGAGGCCGGCAUGCUCCUGCCCCGGGACCAGCCGCUGGACUCCAGUCAUAUCGCCAGCAUCCGCAUGGGCACCACAGUGGCCACCAACGCACUGCUGGAGCGGAAGGGGGAGCGGGUGGCGCUGCUGGUGACACGUGGCUUCCGAGACCUGCUGCACAUUGGCACCCAAGCCCGUGGGGACCUCUUUGACCUGGCCGUGCCCAUGCCUGAGGUGCUGUAUGAAGAGGUGCUGGAGGUGGACGAACGCGUGGUGCUGCACCGUGGAGAGGCGGGCACCGGGACGCCUGUGAAAGGCCGCACGGG